GACUACGUGUCAGAAUUACCAAAUAUUUGACAUCCAAUAGCCGAUGAUUAAUUAAUCAGUGUGCUCUAGUGGUGACGUUAAACAAAACAAACUUUUAAUCAAUGCAUUCCCAUUCGAUUACUUAAGUCUAACAUUGUGAUUUCGAAGCACUUCGUAAUAACGGAAUCACCCGAGAUUCGACCGACAUCGGUAAUUUCCCGGAACCGGUCGAAACGUGGAGUGACGUGGCGGCACGUUUUAAAGCGUCAGAACAUGGGCAGAACUGAACAACGACAGCGAGACAGGAAGCAAAAUGCUGCCAAAAGAUAGACAGCAUGUCCAUUACAAAGAAGAAUAAAGUGAUUUUGACCGAGAGAGCUGUACAUCGAGAUGUCGAUCCUUUGGUGGAUGCGGUUCUUUUGCGUCAGGGGAUGUCUUCUCUUUGGGAGAUUUGCUCUUUCUGACUGGAGCGAGUUUGGAAAUGGUUGGAACGAGAAAUAAUCAACAGGGGAUAAUCGAUCUUUCAAUCUUUUUCAUCUGAAGUGGAAACACCUACAUCUCACUUAGCUCAUUCAUAAGAAAUAAUAUAUUAUUUCUCUACAAAAAUAAAAUUACACAUAAAACGUUUUGAAGAAAGAAUAAAAUUUUGCUUCGUUAAUUAAAGGGACAUUCCUGAGUUUGCUGCAAUUUUUAAGAUGUUAUCGACUAACAGAGACU